GACGAACCGUGCGAACGUUGUUCGGAUUCACUGGGCUUAAAGGGCGCGUAGGCGGGUGGUCAAGUCAGGGGUGAAAGCCCACGGCCCAACCGUGGAAGUGCCUUUGAUACUGACUGUCUUGAGGGAGGUAGGGGCAUGCGGAACUUCCGGUGGAGCGGUGAAAUGCGUAGAUAUCGGAAGGAACGCCGGUGGCGAAAGCGGCGUGCUGGACCUCUUCUGACGCUGAGGCGCGAAAGCCAGGGGAGCGAACGGG
rnacentral:rRNA from 1 species